UUAAGUUGAGUUUUUUUUUUUUUUUUUUUUUUUUUUUUUUUUUUUUCUAACUAUGAAGUAUAAUUAUAUUUUUCUAACUAUGAAGUAUAAUUAUAUAUAAUCCAUUUGUAAAUAUAUUAUAGUUUUUAAAUAAGCACAGUAUAGUUUACCAUGUAUAAUAUAGAUAUAUAUUGCAGGACCUCCCUGAAAAACACUUCGGUGAGUGGAGCUUCCUGAAUAAAUAUUAUUAUUAUUAUUAUUAUUAUUAUUAUUAUUAUUUG